CAGGACUUCUUCAGACUUCUUCUGGUUACCUCAUCCUAUUCUCACCGGUGAUUAAGUGCCUCGACUUUUUGUUAACUCGAUUUUGGGCUGAUGGAGGCUCACUACAUUUCCGCAGGGCUUUUAUUCGGUUACUUCUGUGUACCUUUAUACUCUAUGGAUAACCGCCUUGCCGGAUUUAUAAGGCAACUAUACCAGAGUAGGUGUCAGGAGCCCCUUGAGAAGGUUCCACUAUAGCCACAACUGCCAAACACCGGUGCAGACUGCUAUGAAAAAACGGUUACAGGUUUUUUUUAUAAUGUACUGUGAUAGAAUCUCUAACUAUUUUUCCCUUGUAUUUUAUCAAACGUCCAACCACACCUACAAGUUGCUGUAAGACCCUGCAGCCAACUGUGGUAACUGUAGUAACUAGUAUUAGUUUUUUUUUUAAAUAAAUUGUAACAUUAGUUAAACUAUAUAAUAAAUAACAUUAUUAUUAAA